UGCUUGGGAACUUGCCUUUGCGAGGGGAGUAACCACUGGAACGGUAGGCUAAUACGCAUAAUGUCUACGGACCAAACGAGGGCGUUAGGCUCUUGCGCAAAGAGAGGCCCAAGUGAGAUUAGCUAGUUGGUGGGGUAAAGGCUCACCAAGGCAACGAUCUCUAGCUGUUCUGAGAGGAAGAUCAGCCACACUGGGACUGAGACACGGCCCAGACUCCUACGGGAGGCAGCAGUGGGGAAUAUUGGACAAUGGGGGCAACCCUGAUCCAGCCAUGCCGCGUGUGUGAAGAAGGCCUCGGUU
rnacentral:rRNA from 1 species